rnacentral:rRNA from 1 species
GAUGAACGCUAGCUACAGGCUUAACACAUGCAAGUCGAGGGGCAGCGGGGAGUUAGCUUGCUAACUUUGCCGGCGACCGGCGCACGGGUGAGUAACGCGUAUCCAACCUACCCUGUAGUAGGGAAUAGCCCGGAGAAAUCCGGAUUAAUGCCCUAUGUUAUCCCAUGCAGACAUCUAAGUGGGAUCAAAGGUUUACCGCUAUGGGAUGGGGAUGCGUCUGAUUAGGUUGUUGGCGGGGUAACGGCCCACCAAGCCUGCGAUCAGUAGGGGUUCUGAGAGGAAGGUCCCCCACAUUGGAACUGAGACACGGUCCAAACUCC